AUGCAAACACCGGACAACAAAAUGCCAUCUUCCUCAACAGCAUUGUUGUUCCUCUGCCUACUGCUGGUGCCGUGCCUUCUUCUCUUGGAGGAAGCACAUGCGGUGCGCCAUGGAGGGAUCUCACUGAGGUUUCAACACACGGCGCUCCUCCAUUGGAAAGCUACACUUGCAAGCCCACCGCUGCAGAUGAGCUCUUGGCAGGAAAACACCAGCCCGUGCAACUGGACGGGCAUCAUGUGCGCGGCUGUUCGCCAUGGCCGCCACAUGCCCUGGGUGGUGGCCAACAUCUCCCUGCCGGGUGCUGGCAUCCGUGGCCAGCUUGGUGAGCUCAACUUUUCGGCUCUUCCAUUCCUCACAUAUAUUGACCUCAGCAACAACAGUCUCCAUGGUCCAAUACCAACUAAUAUCAGCUCUCUAUCAUCACUUUCUUAUCUUAACCUCAACUUCAACCAUCUCAACGGACAGAUUCCGUUUGAGUUUGGUAGCUUGCAGAGUCUCACCCAGCUUGAACUCUCGUUUAACAGACUCACGGGACAUAUCCCUGCAUCUCUGGGUAACCUAACAAUGUUAACUGAUCUUGUCAUUCACCAAAACAUGGUAUCAGGUCCCAUUCCUGAGGAGAUUGGAAGGCUUGUCAACCUACAGCUUCUACAGCUAAGCAACAUCACCUUAAGCGGUUUGAUACCAAAAACCCUUGGAAAUCUAACCCAACUAAAUACUUUGCGCCUGUUUGGUACUCAACUUUCAGGGCCUAUACCCCAAGAACUAGGCAGGCUAGUCCAUUUGCAAAUUCUUGAUCUUGGUUCAAAUCAUUUUUCAGGUCCAAUUCCAAUCUCCAUAACCAAUCUCACCAAGCUGAACAUGCUUCUUCUCAUUGAAAAUCAAAUCACAGGUUCCAUCCCCCCCGCAAUAGGCAAUCUCAAUAUGUUAAAGCAACUUUCUCUCUAUACAAAUCAAAUAACAGGUUCAAUACCCCCAGAACUAGGGAACCUCACUAUGCUCCAUGAACUUUAUCUCUAUACAAAUGAAAUCACAUGCCCAAUACCUUUAGAAUUGGGCAUGUUGCAGAAUCUCCGAGAAUUAGACUUGGCCGACAACCAAAUAUCUGGCUCUAUUCCUGACAGCUUAGGAAACAUUACCAACCUAUUACUACUACACCUCUAUGAAAAUCAGAUAACCGGUUCAAUACCAAAAUCUUUUGGGAAGUUGCGAAGCAUCCAAGAACUGCAUAUAUUUGAUAACAAAUUGUCAGGUUCUCUUCCUCAAGAAUUUGGAGAUGUCAUAAGCCUUGUUAAACUCGCGUUGAAUAACAACUAUCUUUCAGGACCUUUACCAGCAAAUAUAUGUUUAGGUGGCAGACUUCAAUAUCUCUUUGUCUAUUCUAAUAUGUUCAAUGGCCCCAUUCCAAGUAGUUUAAAGACUUGCACGAGUUUGGUUCGAAUUGACCUUCGGUGGAACCAACUAACAGGAGAUAUAUCUCAGCAUUUUGGUGUGUAUCCACAUCUCACAAAGAUGCGCUUGACAUCGAAUAGACUCUCUGGGCAGAUCUUACCAAAUCUAGGUGCAUCUACCGAACUGACGGUACUACACCUAGCACAAAAUAUGAUUACGGGUUCCAUACCUCCAAUCCUGUCUAAAUUGUCCAACCUAGUAGAGCUGAGACUCGAAUCUAAUCAUCUCAGCGGUGAGAUUCCACCAGAAAUCUGCACUUUAACUAAUCUAUAUAAACUAACCUUUUCAUCGAACCAAUUAUCUGGAUCCAUACCUACAGAGAUAGAAAAGCUCAGCAAUCUCGGAUACCUUGAUAUAUCUGGGAACAGACUGAGUGGAUCAAUACCUGAGGAACUAGGGGCCUGCAUGAAACUACAGUCCUUGAAGAUAAACGACAAUAACUUCAGUGGGAGUUUGCCUGAAGCGAUUGGAAAUUUAGCAGGCCUGCAGAUCAUGUUAGACGUGAGCAACAAUAACCUCAGUGGUGUGUUGCCACAGCAACUUGGGAAGUUGGAGAUGCUAGAAUUUCUGAAUUUAUCGCAUAAUCAGUUCAACAGCAGCAUUCCAUCCUCCUUUGCAAGCAUGGUGAGCCUUUCAACACUCGAUGUGUCCGACAACGACUUGGAAGGACCGGUCCCAAUAACACGGCUACUCCAAAAUGCUUCAGCAAGUUGGUUUCUUCCCAAUAAAGGUCUGUGUGGUAACCUCUCUGGCCUGCCACCUUGUUAUUCAAUUCCAAUAGCUAGUCACCAUAAACAGAAGACAUUUGGUUUUCUUUUGCCAAUUUUUCUCGUGGUGGGUUUCAGCAUUGUUGCCGCAAUUGUUGUCAUAAUAAUGCUUAGUCGUAAAAAGAAAAAACCACAAGAAAGUGUUACUGCUGAAGCAAGGGACCUAUUCUCUGUUUGGAAUUUUGAUGGAAGAUUGGCAUUUGACGAUAUUGUAAGGGCGACAGAAGACUUCGACGAUAAGUACAUCGUUGGAACAGGUGGAUACGGCAAGGUCUAUAAGGCACAACUCCAAGAUGGGAAGCUAGUUGCUGUGAAGAAGCUUCAUCGGACCGAAGAGGAGCUGGAUGAUGAAAGAAGAUUUUGCAAUGAAAUGGAGAUCUUAUCACAGAUCCGACAACGAAGCAUUGUAAAAAUGUAUGGAUUCUGCUCCCAUCCAGCGUAUAAAUUUCUUGUCUAUGACUACAUUCAGCGGGGAAGCCUCCACAGGACAUUGGAAAAUGAGGAGCUAGCAAAGGAAUUGGAUUGGCAGAAGAGAAUUGCUCUUGCAAAUGAUGUGGCUCAAGCAAUAUCUUAUUUGCACCAAGAAUGCAGUCCACCUAUAAUACAUCGAGAUAUCACGAGCAGCAACAUCUUACUUGAUUCAACCUUCAAGGCUUUUGUCUCGGAUUUUGGCAUAGCAAGGAUUCUUAAGCCCGAUUCAUCAAACUGGAGUGCACUAGCAGGAACGUAUGGCUACAUAGCUCCUGAACUGUCGUACACAUCUGUUGUGACAGAGAAAUGUGAUGUCUAUAGCUUUGGUGUGGUUGUGCUAGAGCUAGUGAUGGGGAAGCAUCCAAGGGAUCUAUUAGAUGGUACUUUGUCGAGUGGGGAACAAGCUAUGCUGGUGAAAGAUAUUCUAGACGAACGGCCGACGACACCAACAACAACAGAAGAGAAUAGCUUAGUUCUGCUCAUCAGGCUGGCCUUUUCUUGCUUGGAAUCUUCUCCACAAGCAAGGCCAACCAUGCGGGAGGCAUACCAAACACUCAUCCAGCAACCCUCUUCUAGUUCAUGUCCCGUGCCUUUCAGCACACUUACAUUACAGCAAGUAAGGGAUGCAUGUUAA
rnacentral:rRNA from 1 species